GAUUUGAUGUAAGGGUGUUCACAU
rnacentral:siRNA from 1 species